rnacentral:siRNA from 1 species
UGAGCAAAUCAGUAUGGUGAUCUG